UACGUAGGAGACGAGCGUUGUCCGGAAUUACUGGGCGUAAAGCGCGUGUAGGCGGAUAGGCAAGUCUGCUGUGAAAGCUCCUGGCUUAACCGGGAGUGGUCGGUGGAAACUGCCUGUCUGGAGGACGGUAGAGGCUGGUGGAAUUCCCGGUGUAGUGGUGAAAUGCGUAGAGAUCGGGAGGAACACCUGUGGCGAAGGCGGCCAGCUGGGCCGGACCUGACGCUGAGACGCGAAGCGUGGGAGCGAACGGGAGUAGAUAUCC
rnacentral:rRNA from 1 species